CUGCACAAAUCUUCAAAAAAUAUCCUUGUCCCACUGUGUCACCUGUGGACAGAUUUCAUGUCCUGGUCUCCUUCUAAACCUGGAGGUGGGGCAUGAACAAGGUGGAGUCACAGGGGAAAGAAAAUGAGGCCCCAAGACACCUGGGUUCACACCCAGGUCCCCAGCGAUGUCUCCACCACCGCUGCUGCUACCCCUGCUGCUGCUGCUGCUGCCUCUGCUGAAUGUGGAGCGUGCCACACUGAUCCGCAUCCCUCUUCAUCGAGUCCAACCUGAACGCAGGACCCUGAACCUACUGAGGGGAUGGAGAGAACCAGCAGAGCUCCCCAAGUGGGGGGCCCCAUCCCUUGGGGACAAGCCCACCUUCGUACCUCUCUCGAACUACAGGGAUGUGAGUCACAGCCCCACACAGCCCUCACCCCUGCGCCCUUGAGCCAAACUCUUCGUUUACUCUCCUCUUUUGCUAUCAGGUGCAGUAUUUUGGGGAAAUUGGGCUGGGAACGCCUCCACAAAACUUCACUGUCGUCUUUGACACUGGCUCCUCCAAUCUCUGGGUCCCGUCCAGGAGAUGCCACUUCUUCAGUGUGCCCUGCUGUGAGCUUCUAUGUGGGAGAAUAAGGCUGAAUGGGGGGUGAAGGGAGAAGGCGGGGCUGGACCUCAGCUUCUCAGAGGUUUCUGAGGAACUGUUCUUUUAUCAUGCCCUCACAGGUCAGAAAGUCAAAGGGGCAGUAGGCACUGGGGAGAUUCCCUCCCCCAGUGACACCUUUCUGACCUCUAACCUAGGGUUACACCGCCGAUUUGAUCCCAAAGCCUCCAGCUCCUUCCAGGUCAAUGGGACCAAGUUUGCCAUUCAAUAUGGAACUGGGCGGGUAGAUGGAAUCCUGAGUGAGGACAAGCUGACUAUUGGUGGAAUCAAGGGUGCAUCAGUGAUUUUUGGGGAGGCUCUCUGGGAGCCCAGCCUGGUCUUCACUUUUGCCCAUUUUGAUGGGAUAUUGGGCCUCGGUUUUCCCAUUCUGGCUGUGGAAGGAGUUCGGCCCCCAAUGGAUGUACUGGUGGAGCAGGGGCUAUUGGAUAAGCCUGUCUUCUCCUUUUACCUCA
rnacentral:sRNA from 1 species